AACGAACGCUGGCGGCAGGCUUAACACAUGCAAGUCGAGCGCCCCGCAAGGGGAGCGGCAGACGGGUGAGUAACGCGUGGGAAUCUACCGUGCCCUACGGAAUAGCUCCGGGAAACUGGAAUUAAUACCGUAUACGCCCUUUGGGGGACAGAUUUAUCGGGGUAUGAUGAGCCCGCGUUGGAUUAGCUAGUUGGUGGGGUAAAGGACUACCAAGGCGACGAUCCAUAGCUGGUCUGAGAGGAUGAUCAGCCACAUUGGUACUGAGACACGGCCCAAACUCCUACGGGAGGCAGCAGUGGGGAAUAUUGGACAAUGGGCGCAAGCCUGAUCCAGCCAUGCCGCGUGAGUGAUGAAGGCCCUAGGGUUGUAAAGCUCUUUCACCGGUGAAGAUAAUGACGGUAACCGGAGAAGAAGCCCCGGCUAACUUCGUGCCAGCCGCCGCCGUAA
rnacentral:rRNA from 1 species